GCGCGCCAGGCCGACGGGGUGGAGGCUCAGCAACGGGGGAGUGCCCAUCCCCCCCUGCCCGACGCCGUGGCGCGCACCCCCUACUUCGCCGCCGAGGUAGAGCUCGUGCGUGCCUCCCUCACCGACAAGCAGCUCGCCCUCCCCCAGUACGCCGUCGACAACCACGCGGCGUGGGCGGCGUACUUCGAGCGCCGUCAGGAGCAAAGGCUGGCGUCCACCAACAGGGCGCGGGUGAUGGACGGCACAAAGAACAGCGAGGGGCGCCACGUGUGGUGGGGCGUCCCCGGCCGCACGCUCGAGGGCGUGCUGACGCACCUUGAGGGCGGCAACAACCCGCCGCUUGCAUACCCUCCCCCGGCGGUCGCCCCCGCCCACCGCCGACGCAUCGGGCAAUGGAUGUCCAGGAGGUUCGGCUCCUCCUCGCACUCCUCCUCACGGUCUUCUUCCCACUCCUCCGGCUCUCCGGCGCUUCUCGGCGUCAAGGCCGAGCCCCCGGCGGAGACGCCGCUCGGCCGGCGCACUCACAGCGCCGGCAUCGUCAUCAACGAGGGCGGCCGGCGCACCUCCUCGUCGGCUCCUCCGUGCUUCGUCAAGCCAAAGACGGAGCCGGGGCUCACGCCGGUGAAAACGGAGCCGGGGCUCCCCGCCGUGAAGACGGAGCACGGCGACGUGGAGCUCGAUGACGAGGCGGCCCUGAAAUGGGCGCGCGAGGACUUCCUGAAGAUGGAGAGGGAACGCCAGUGCGCCGCCCUGUGGCGCUUCGAGCAGCGCCGCUGGGGCCGCGACAAAGGAGGAGUCGUCGUCCUCGACGACAGCGGCGAUGACGACGCGCCACCGCUAUCGCCACCAGUCCGCCAUGGUGACGCCGGGCAGGGGUCCAGCAGGGACGACUGCGUCAAGGAGGAGAAGGCCGACGGCGGCGGCGGCGAGGAUGGCGGCAACGACGGUGACUACUCG
rnacentral:rRNA from 1 species